rnacentral:rRNA from 1 species
UACGGGGGGGGGCAAGCGUUUGUUCGGAAUUACUGGGCGUAAAGGGCUCGUAGGCGGCCAACUAAGUCAGACGUGAAAUCCCCAGGCUCAACCUGGGAACUGCGUCUGAUACUGGAUGGCUUGAAUCCGGGAGAGGGAUGCAGAAUUCCAGGUGUAGCGGUGAAAUGCGUAGAUAUCUGGAGGAACACCGGUGGCGAAGGCGGCAUCCUGGACCGACACUGACACUGAGGAGCGAAAGCCAGGGGGAGCAAACGGG